CCCCACUCUCUCUCUCUCCCUAAAUUAGCUCUAUCCGCUGUCCAAUAAAGGCAGAAAAAGCCCAAAAAUAAAUAUCUCAAGGUCUCUACAUAUCGGGGCUUUAUGUCUGUAGAUAUCAAACUACACAUACGUUUGACACAUCAGCCUCACAUUGUCACAAGUAUCAGGACUCUCUUUCAUCAUUUACACGCAGGUGGACAGCUUCUCUUCUGAUACAACCUUUAAGAAUAAUCAUUUCAACCAUGGACCGAUUUACAAAUAUCAGCUCGUAAAUUUACGACUUUAAUCUCAACAUUUGAGGGAAAAGAUUCUUUAAGGGGUCCCUGAUAAUUGUUCAUUUCAUUCUAACGCUGAAUGACCUCCUGAAACAGAAACCUGUCAACGCUGAAACGACCUGAUGAUGGAACUUGAUGUUCAAAUAAUGAAUAAAAGAAACUGAUUAAAAAGUCUCCUCUGCUUGCAUCGCCUGCUUCUAAAUGAGUAUCAACAAAAACUUUCAUUUCUCUUCAAAGUCCAGCCCGGCGUGAUAAGGGUGUGGGGGUCCAGGUCAGGACCAGAUAAGACCCCCCCCCACCACCCCCCCUUCCUUUUAAACGCUGUCUGGUCAACCCAGAUGUCAUCACGGUAUGCUAAUGAGCCAGGGGGCCUUUAAGUGCCAGAGCCCGGCGUGCAGAGCAGAUAGUCGUCUGUGAACAAGCAGCGGUGAAACGUGAACAUGAGACGGAACAUGUGAGCGAGAGGCAAGACGAUCUGAGCGACGUGGCGUGUAACGGUUAAAAGCACGGCCGGAGCUCGCUGUGUGGGCGCCGUGACGCAUCUUGAGCCCUGGACAGGAUAUCAUCUUAUACUGUAAGUUCAUUAAAGAGACACUACAGUAUAGAUGAUGUACUAUCCAGGGGGUCAUUCGUCCUCAGCAACAGAGACGCGCUGACACCAACACCGCCGCACACGCUGCAGAGGGGGGCCGUCAAACCGUUACCAUUACUGAGUUCCAGUAAUGGUAAGGGUUAUAUGGCCCUCGCUCAAACUCAUCGUGACCACGAGGAUGACAAAGGUCACUUCAUGGGAUAUUCAGGAGCUUCUGGAGGACACGGUUUUAACAAUGUACAUGUGGAUGAAUGUUGAAUAAAGCUGAUGGCGCCCAAACAAA